rnacentral:rRNA from 1 species
AGCUUCUGGAAUUAAUCUGAAGUUAAACCUGCCCAAUGUUUUAGAUGAAUGGCCGCGGUACUCUGACCGUGCUAAGGUAGCGCAAUCAAUUGGCUUUUAAUUGGAGUCGGGUAUGAAUGGAAUUACGGAAUUCAGCUGUCUCUUAAUUAAUAAUUUGAAAUUACUUUGUAGGUGAAAAAGCCUAUAAUGAGAAAAGGGACGAGAAGACCCUUAGAGUUUUUCCUAGUUGGAGAUUAUAAAUAAGUAUUCAUAAUGGUUUAGUUGGGGCAACAUAGGAGCAGCAGUAUAAUCUCCUAAAUAUAAUCAACCGAUUAUUUUAAAUUUGAAUAAACUACCUUAGGGAUAACAGCAUAAUUUAAUAAAUAAGUUUGUGACCUCGAUGUUGGACUAGGAAACUCAAAGGCUAGCCGUUUUUGGGAGAAGUUCUGUUCGAACUAUUAUUCCU